rnacentral:rRNA from 1 species
AUUGAACGCUGGCGGCAUGCCUUACACAUGCAAGUCGAACGGUAACGGGCCUUCGGGUGCCGACGAGUGGCGAACGGGUGAGUAAUGUAUCGGAACGUACCUUUCAGUGGGGGAUAACGUAGCGAAAGUUACGCUAAUACCGCAUAUUCUGUGAGCAGGAAAGCAGGGGAUCGCAAGACCUUGCGCUGAUUGAGCGGCCGAUAUCAGAUUUAGCUAGUUGGUGAGGUAAAGGCUCACCAAGGCGACGAUCUGUAGCGGGUCUGAGAGGAUGAUCCGCCACACUGGAACUGAGACACGGUCCAGACUCCUACGGGAGGCAGCAGUGGGGAAUUUUUGGACAAUGGGGGCGAACCCUGAUCCAGCCAUGCCGCGUGAGUGAAGAAGGCCUC